CAGAGGAAGUACUUAGGGAGGUUGGU
rnacentral:piRNA from 1 species